AUGGCCGGCCACCGGAACAAGGCCUCCUGGUCCUCCGGCCUCUGCGGCUGCUUCGACGAUGUCAGCGGCUGCUGCCUGACCUUCUUCUGUCCAUGCGUUGUCUUUGGGAGGAUCGCCGAGAUUGUCGACAAGGGAGCCAUAUCGUGUUGUGCGAGUGGGACAAUGUACGUGCUGCAGGCCUUGGGGACGACGGCGAUAGGCUCCAUAUUCUACCACUGCUGCUACCGUGCCAGGCUGCGGGCGGAGCAUGGUCUGGAGGAGAAGCCGUGCGCCGACUGCUGCGUCCACACCUUCUGUGGGUACUGCGCCCUCUGCCAGGAGUACCGUGAGCUUAAGAGUCGUGGCUUCGACAUGCAUGCAGGGUGGCACGCCAACAUGGAGAAGAUGGGGAGGACCGUCGCGCCCCAAAUGAACCAGGGGAUGACUCGUUAG
rnacentral:rRNA from 1 species